UACGUAGGGGGCAAGCGUUGUCCGGAUUUACUGGGCGUAAAGAGCGUGUAGGCGGCCACGCAGGUCCGUUGUGAAAACUGGGAGGCUCAACCUCCAGCUGUCGACGGAAACCGUAUGGCUAGAGUCCGGAAGAGGAGAGUGGAAUUCCUGGUGUAGCGGUGAAAUGCGCAGAUAUCAGGAAGAACACCAAUGGCGAAGGCAACUCUCUGGGGACGGUACUGACGCUGAGACGCGAAAGCGUGGGGAGCAAACAGG
rnacentral:rRNA from 1 species